UUGAUUGAAUGGGUGUGUGUUAGAAAUGAUGUUGGGGACAUGAAGUUUUGGGGGCAAAAAGGCCCAAUUCGCCAUUCAUCGCCUAACUCGGGUCUCAUUUGCCUUUUGCCAUGCCCAAAACUCAAUGCAUCCAAGCCACUUCACCGUCAGCAUCAGCGCGUAAUCACCAAGAAAAUAUUCGAAACUCCAUUUCAAACUCUCACUUCCUCAUACACGGAUCUCCCCCAUUCAAAUCUCAAUCGAACAGCAGAAUCAAAAAACGGGUGCUAUAUAUUCAUCACUGAAUUGAAUCUCGCUAAAGUCGAAAUCAUAUUGCGCGCGGGUGAAGGAAGAAAAACUUACCCGACGAUUCCGACGCGGUGGCUCAGAGUCGAUGAAUUCUUUGGUCUUCUUAUUUUCUCUUAUGCGCUCAUUGUUCUUCAGUUGUGUGAUCGUUGGUUCGUCGAUGUCGUCCGUGUUAUAGCUAUGCGUUGUGGAUCAUUGUUGUUGUUCUCAGGUGAAGCGUGAAGAUGUUGCGUUCGUCGAAGGAUUAGAGAUGAUCGAGGGUGAUGCGUGAAAUUCCGUGAGUUUUCUCUUCUUCCUUGCUAGAAAUUCUCUCUUCUCCUCUCUCUUCUUCUGUUUCAAUCUUUCUGGCUUCUUGAGUUUUUUCUGUGAAGUUUCUUUGUGAGAAUUUCUUGAGUUGCUUCAGUGUGAGAAUGGUUAUUGAGAUCGUUGUGAGAGUUCCGUUUUGGUUCUGUUAAGAAGUUCUUGUUAUUGGAAAAAUGGAAGUUGGUUAGAGGUGAAGAAUGGUGGGGUUAGUUCUGGAAAUUAUAGUUCUGGAAAUUAUGGAUGGUUGUGUGUUAUGAAGGUGUCAAUCUGUUAUGAGGAGCUUCGGUUCCUUUUGUGAAGUUAGGUUGGGGAGGUUAUGGUUAUAUGGUGAUGGAGGGUGAAGUUCAUUGCCAGUUGAGUCUCUGGAAGGGAUUUCGGUGGUGUUGAAGAAGGAGGUUUUAAAAGCAGGUUGAAGGGUGGUUAGAAAUCUGUUAGGGGUUUGGGGUGAUUGAAGCAGUUUGGAAGGCUAAGUCAAGGAGAGGGUUCGGUUCUGUUGUGAAGUUCUUCGAGGUUCUGUUCAGCUGGAAUCUGUUUUAUUGGCAUUCUGUUAUGGUUUCUUUUUUUGAGUGAAGGUUCAGUUAGCAGUUGUCGGUACCCUUAUGAAGGUUGUUGAAAUUCAGUUAUAAUUCUGUUACAGGUUUUAUUAAUUCUGUUAGGAAGUUGAGAAUUUGGGUGGUUUUUGAAAAUCUGAAAAUGGUUUGUUGGGUUUUUUGAGGGAGUUCCUUGAAUGAAUAGCAGGUUCCGAUGAAGGCUUGUGUUGAGGGUGUUUUGAGUUGGUUUCUGCCCGGUUCUAUUAUGCAGGGCGAAGUUGUUAUCAGUUGGAAAAAAAGAUACUGAUAGGUGGCGUAUCAUGGAAUUACUUGGAGUUAGCUAUGGAUUGGUGAUUGGACAUGCUAUGGACUUGGUGAUGUAGGAAGGUUGCUUGGACAUGUUAAGCAUAUGGAAUGGAUUAGGAUAUAUUAAAUGCAUUGAAAUGGCAAUGUGUAGUGAUUAUUGUAGUCUUGUAACUUUGAUUUAUUUGAAUAUUGUUGUAAGAUGGUUGUAAAUGAAAAUGAACCUUGUGAAUUUUAAAUGGGUGUAUGCAAUAUUUAUGGCUAUGAUGGUAAUUGGAUGUAAUAGGAAAGGAACAUAUAUGUAUAUGGGAUUGAAUUUGUAUUGGAAUGUAAUAUGGAAUUUGGAUCGUAGAAAUCAAAUGUGAUUUGGAAAUUGAAAUUAUAAUGGAAUUGAUGUAUUGGAUUAUGAUUA